ensembl:snoRNA
ACUUUCAGCAAAGUAGCAAGAUAUCAGGUGCGGCUUCUGUGUCCCAUGUGCAUCAGUAGGUGACAGAGAGGAGAGAGGCUAUUCUAUGCCCAGUGACCUGUCCUAUGAACAUCUGAAAGAUUAAUAACCUAACAUU